rnacentral:rRNA from 1 species
UACGGGGGGGGUAAGCGUUGUUCGGAAUUACUGGGCGUAAAGGGCUUGUAGGUGGCCAACUAAGUCAGACGUGAAAUCCCUCGGCUUAACCGGGGAACUGCGUCUGAUACUGGAUGGCUCGAGUGUGGGAGAGGAAUGCGGAAUUCCAGGUGUAGCGGUGAAAUGCGUAGAUAUCUGGAGGAACACCGGUGGCGAAGGCGGCAUGCUGGACCAUAACUGACACUGAGAGACGAAAGCCAGGGGAGCAAACGGG